rnacentral:rRNA from 1 species
AUUGACGUUACUCGCAGAAGAAGCACCGGCUAACUCCGUGCCAGCAGCCGCGGUAAUACGGAGGGUGCAAGCGUUAAUCGGAAUUACUGGGCGUAAAGCGCACGCAGGCGGUUUGUUAAGUCAGAUGUGAAAUCCCCGCGCUUAACGUGGGAACUGCAUUUGAAACUGGCAAGCUAGAGUCUCGUAGAGGGGGGUAGAAUUCCAGGUGUAGCGGUGAAAUGCGUAGAGAUCUGGAGGAAUACCGGUGGCGAAGGCGGCCCCCUGGACGAAGACUGACGCUCAGGUGCGAAAGCGUGGGGAGCAAACAGGAUUAGAUACCCCGGUAGUCAAGCG